rnacentral:rRNA from 1 species
GAUGAACGCUGGCGGCGUGCCUAAUACAUGCAAGUCGAGCGAACAGACGAGGAGCUUGCUCCUCUGGCGUUAGCGGCGGACGGGUGAGUAACACGUGGAUAACCUACCUAUAAGACUGGGAUAACUUCGGGAAACCGGAGCUAAUACCGGAUAAUAUGUUGAACCGCAUGGUUCAACAGUGAAAGACGGUCUUGCUGUCACUUAUAGAUGGAUCCGCGCCGCAUUAGCUAGUUGGUAAGGUAACGGCUUACCAAGGCAACGAUGCGUAGCCGACCUGAGAGGGUGAUCGGCCACACUGGAACUGAGACACGGUCCAGACUCCUACGGGAGGCAGCAGUAGGGAAUCUUCCGCAAUGGGCGAAAGCCUGACGGAGCAACGCCGCGUGAGUGAUGAAGGUCUUCGGAUCGUAAAACUCUGUUAUUAGGGAAGAACAAAUGUGUAAGUAACUAUGCACGUCUUGACGGUACCUAAUCAGAAAGCCACGGCUAACUACGUG